UACGUAGGGGGGCAAGCGUUGUCCGGAAUCAUUGGGCGUAAAGAGCGUGUAGGCGGCCAGAUAAGUCCGCUGUGAAAAUCUCGAGGCUCAACUUCGAGCUGUCGGUGGAAACUGUCUGGCUAGAGUCCGGAAGAGGAGAAUGGAAUUCCUGGUGUAGCGGUGAAAUGCGCAGAUAUCAGGAAGAACACCCGUGGCGAAGGCGGUUCUCUGGGACGGUACUGACGCUGAGACGCGAAAGCGUGGGGAGCGAACAGG
rnacentral:rRNA from 1 species